GGGACGUUAGCUCAGUUGGUAGAGCAGCGGACUUUUAAUCCGUUGGUCACAAGUUCGAAUCUUGUACGUCCUACCA
rnacentral:tRNA from 111 species